UAUGGAAUUGCUGGGUAAUAUGGCAACUCUUACAUCUAACUUUUUGAGGAACUGACUAACUCUUUUUCAAAGCAGGGGUGCACUGUUUUUACCUUCCCAACAGAAAU
rnacentral:pre_miRNA from 1 species